rnacentral:rRNA from 1 species
UACGUAGGGGGGCAAGCGUUGUCCGGAUUUAUUGGGCGUAAAGAGCGUGUAGGCGGCCUGGAAGGUCAGCUGUGAAAACUCGAGGCUCAACCUCGAGACGUCGGUUGAAACCACCUGGCUAGAGUCCGGAAGAGGAGAGUGGAAUUCCUGGUGUAGCGGUGAAAUGCGCAGAUAUCAGGAGGAACACCGAUGGCGAAGGCAGGUCUCUGGGCCAUAACUGACGCUGAGAAGCGAAAGCAUGGGGAGCGAACAGG